ACUGCACGCUGGCGGCAGGCCUAACACAUGCAAGUCGAACGAGUGGCGGACGGGUGAGUACUGUCUGGGAAACUGCCCGAUGGAGGGGUAUAACUACUUGAAACAGUAGCUAAUACCGCAUACCAUCGGAUGUACCCCUAUGGGAUUAGCUAGUAGGUGGGGUAACGGCUCACAUAGGCGACGAGCCCUCGCUGGUCUGAGAGGAUGACUAGCUAACCUGCAACUGCGACACGGUCACGACUCCUACGAGAGGAAGAAGUGGGGACUAGUGAACAAUGGGGGCAAGCAUGCUGAAGCCAUGUCGCGUGUAUGAAGAAGGCCUGCGGGUGGUAAAGUACUGUCUGCGAGGAGGUGUGACUCGAAGAAUAAGCACCGGCUAACUGCGUGCCAGCAGCCGCGGUAAUAC
rnacentral:rRNA from 1 species